AUGAGAACUUGCCCUUCGGGGUAGAUCUCCCACCCUCUGUUUACAUACUUUGUUGCUUUGGCAGGCCCGUCUUCGGACCGCCGGCUUCGGCUGGCCCGUGCUUGCCAGAGGAUUCAAAACUCUGAAUGUUAGUGUCGUCUGAGUACUAUAUAAUAGUUA
rnacentral:misc_RNA from 1 species